rnacentral:rRNA from 1 species
AGGGAAUCUUCGGCAAUGGGGGCAACCCUGACCGAGCAACGCCGCGUGAGUGAAGAAGGUUUUCGGAUCGUAAAGCUCUGUUGUAAGAGAAGAACGAGUGUGAGAGUGGAAAGUUCACACUGUGACGGUAACUUACCAGAAAGGGACGGCUAACUACGUGCCAGCAGCCGCGGUAAUACGUAGGUCCCGAGCGUUAUCCGGAUUUAUUGGGCGUAAAGCGAGCGCAGGCGGUUAGAUAAGUCUGAAGUUAAAGGCUGUGGCUUAACCAUAGUACGCUUUGGAAACUGUUUAACUUGAGUGCAGAAGGGGAGAGUGGAAUUCCAUGUGUAGCGGUGAAAUGCGUAGAUAUAUGGAGGAACACCGGUGGCGAAAGCGGCUCUCUGGUCUGUAACUGACGCUGAGGCUCGAAAGCGUGGGGAGCAAACAGGGUUAGAUACCCUGGUAGUCCACGCCGUAAACGAUGAGUGCUAGGUGUUGGGUCCUUUCCGGGACUCAGUGCCGCAGCUAACGCAUUAAGCACUCCGCCUGGGGAGUACGACCGCAAGGUUG